UGGCCAGACUCCUACGGGAGGCAGCAGUGAGGAAUAUUGGUCAAUGGGCGAGAGCCUGAACCAGCCAAGUCGCGUGAAGGAUGACGGCCCUACGGGUUGUAAACUUCUUUUGUCAGGGAGCAAUUGGGUCCACGCGUGGGCUUAGCGAGAGUACCUGAAGAAAAAGCAUCGGCUAACUCCGUGCCAGCAGCCGCGGUAAUACGGAGGAUGCGAGCGUUAUCCGGAUUUAUUGGGUUUAAAGGGUGCGUAGGCGGUUUUUUAAGUUAGUGGUUAAACGUCGGGGCUUCACCUUGAUUUGCCAUUAAUACUGUAAGACUCGAGUUCAGACGAGGUAGGCGGAAUAAGUUAAGUAGCGGUGAAAUGCUUAGAUAUAACUUAGAACUCCGAUAGCGAAGGCAGCUUACCAGACUGCGACUGACGCUGAAGCACGAGAGCGUGGGUAGCGAACAGGAUUAGAUACCCCCGUAGUC
rnacentral:rRNA from 1 species